rfam:Triticum urartu cultivar G1812 contig510105, whole genome shotgun sequence.
UGUGUACUCCCUCCGUUCCAAAAUACUUGACUUCCAUUUGUCCAAAAAUGGAUGUACCUAUAUAGUAAGACAUGUCUAGAUACAUAUAUAUUUUGACAAAUAGAAGGCAUGUAUUGUGUAAUGGAGGGAGUAGAAU